rnacentral:rRNA from 1 species
AUUGAACGCUGGCGGCAGGCCUAACACAUGCCAGUCGAGCGGAUGAAGGGAGCUUGCUCCUGGAUUCAGCGGCGGACGGGUGAGUAAUGCCUAGGAAUCUGCCUGGUAGUGGGGGAUAACGUCCGGAAACGGGCGCUAAUACCGCAUACGUCCUGAGGGAGAAAGUGGGGGAUCUUCGGACCUCACGCUAUCAGAUGAGCCUAGGUCGGAUUAGCUAGUUGGUGGGGUAAAGGCCUACCAAGGCGACGAUCCGUAACUGGUCUGAGAGGAUGAUCAGUCACACUGGAACUGAGACACGGUCCAGACUCCUACGGGAGGCAGCAGUGGGGAAUAUUGGACAAUGGGCGGAAGCCUGAUCCAGCCAUGCCGCGUGUGUGAAGAAGGUCUUCGGAUUGUAAAGCACUUUAAGUUGGGAGGAAGGGCAGUAAGUUAAUACCUUGCUGUUUUGACGUUACCAACAGAAUAAGCACCGGCUAACUUCGUG